UUAGCCACGUCUGGAUGGGAUAACCGCUGAAAGCAUCUAAGCGGGAAGCCCACCUCGAGAUGAGGCUUCCCAUCCCCUAGAGGGAGUAAGGGCCGUGGGAGACCACCACGUCGAUAGGCGGGACGUGUAAGCGCAGCAAUGCGUUUAGCGGACCCGUACUAAUUGCCCGAGGUCUUGAUUUU
rnacentral:rRNA from 1 species